rnacentral:rRNA from 1 species
GACGAAGGAUGCAAGCGUUAUCCGGAUUCAUUGGGUUUAAAGGGAGCGUAGGUGGCCUUAUAAGUCAGUGGUGAAAUCUCUGGGCUUAACCCAGAAAUUGCCAUUGAUACUGUAGGGCUUGAGUACAGUUGCUGUGGGCGGAAUAUGACAUGUAGUGGUGAAAUACAUAGAGAUGUCAUAGAACACCGAUUGCGAAGGCAGCUCACAAAACUGUAAACUGACACUGAGGCUCGAAAAGUGCGGGGAUCAAACAGG